CUGAGACACGGCCCAAACUCCUACGGGAGGCAGCAGUAGGGAAUCUUCCACAAUGGACGCAAGUCUGAUGGAGCAACGCCGCGUGAGUGAAGAAGGCUUUCGGGUCGUAAAACUCUGUUGUUGGAGAAGAAUGGUCGGCAGAGUAACUGUUGUCGGCGUGACGGUAUCCAACCAGAAAGCCACGGCUAACUACGUGCCAGCAGCCGCGGUAAUACGUAGGUGGCAAGCGUUAUCCGGAUUUAUUGGGCGUAAAGCGAGCGCAGGCGGUUUUUUAAGUCUGAUGUGAAAGCCCUCGGCUUAACCGAGGAAGUGCAUCGGAAACUGGGAAACUUGAGUGCAGAAGAGGACAGUGGAACUCCAUGUGUAGCGGUGAAAUGCGUAGAUAUAUGGAAGAACACCAGUGGCGAAGGCGGCUGUCUGGUCUGUAACUGACGCUGAGGCUCGAAAGCAUGGGUAGCGAACAGGAUUAGAUACCCUGGUAGUCCAUGCCGUAAACGAUGAAUGCUAGGUGUUGGAGGGUUUCCGCCCUUCAGUGCCGCAGCUAACGCAUUAAGCAUUCCGCCUGGGGAGUACGACCGCAAGGUUGAAACUCAAAGGAAUUGACGGGGGCCCGCACAAGCGGUGGAGCAUGUGGUUUAAUUCGAAGCAACGCGAAGAACCUUACCAGGUCUUGAC
rnacentral:rRNA from 1 species